UACGAAGGGGGCUAGCGUUGUUCGGAAUUACUGGGCGUAAAGGGCGCGUAGGUGGCUUCGCAAGUCAGGAGUGAAAUCCCCAGGCUUAACCUGGGAAUGGCUCUUGAGACUGCGGAGCUUGAGUACAGGAGAGGUGAGUGGAAUUCCCAGUGUAGAGGUAAAAUUCGUAGAUAUUGGGAGGAACACCGGUGGCGAAGGCGGCUCACUGGCCUGUAACUGACACUGAGGCGCGAAAGCGUGGGGAGCAAACAGG
rnacentral:rRNA from 1 species